rnacentral:rRNA from 1 species
GACGAACGCUGGCGGCGCGCCUAACACAUGCAAGUCGAACGAGCGAGAGAGAGCUUGCUUUCUCGAGCGAGUGGCGAACGGGUGAGUAACGCGUGAGGAACCUGCCUCAAAGAGGGGGACAACAGUUGGAAACGACUGCUAAUACCGCAUAAGCCCACGGGUCGGCAUCGACCAGAGGGAAAAGGAGCAAUCCGCUUUGAGAUGGCCUCGCGUCCGAUUAGCUAGUUGGUGAGGUAAUGGCCCACCAAGGCGACGAUCGGUAGCCGGACUGAGAGGUUGAACGGCCACAUUGGGACUGAGACACGGCCCAGACUCCUACGGGAGGCAGCAGUGGGGAAUAUUGCACAAUGGGGGGAACCCUGAUGCAGCGACGCCGCGUGGAGGAAGAAGGUCUUCGGAUUGUAAACUCCUGUUGUUGGGGAAGAUAAUGACGGUACCCAACAAGGAAGUGACGGCUAACUACGUGCCAGCAGCCGCGGUAAAACGUAGGUCACAAGCGUUGUCCGGAAUUACUGGGUGUAAAGGGAGCGCAGGCGGGAAGACAAGUUGGAAGUGAAAUCUAUGGGCUCAACCCAUAAACUGCUUUCAAAACUGUUUUUCUUGAGUAGUGCAGAGGUAGGCGGAAUUCCCGGUGUAGCGGUGGAAUGCGUAGAUAUCGGGAGGAACACCAGUGGCGAAGGCGGCCUACUGGGCACCAACUGACGCUGAGGCUCGAAAGUGUGGGUAGCAAACAGGAUUAGAUACCCUGGUAGUCCACACCGUAAACGAUGAUUACUAGGUGUUGGAGGAUUGACCCCUUCAGUGCCGCAGUUAACACAAUAAGUAAUCCACCUGGGGAGUACGACCGCAAGGUUGAAACUCAAAGGAAUUGACGGGGGCCCGCACAAGCAGUGGAGUAUGUGGUUUAAUUUGACGCAACGCGAAGAACCUUACCAAGUCUUGACAUCCCUUGACAGACAUAGAAAUAUGUAAUCUCUUCGGAGCAAGGAGACAGGUGGUGCAUGGUUGUCGUCAGCUCGUGUCGUGAGAUGUUGGGUUAAGUCCCGCAACGAGCGCAACCCUUAUGGUCAGUUACUACGCAAGAGGACUCUGGCCAGACUGCCGUUGACAAAACGGAGGAAGGUGGGGAUGACGUCAAAUCAUCAUGCCCUUUAUGACUUGGGCUACACACGUACUACAAUGGCGUUAAACAAAGAGAAGCAAGACCGCGAGGUGGAGCAAAACUCAGAAACAACGUCCCAGUUCGGACUGCAGGCUGCAACUCGCCUGCACGAAGUCGGAAUUGCUAGUAAUCGUGGAUCAGCAUGCCACGGUGAAUAAAAGGCCGGGCCUUGCACUCUCCGCCCGUCA